GAUGAACGAGUGAGGCGCACCCUUUUACUUCUUGAUGAUCUCUGAUGUCGUGCAGAUGUUCGUUUUUCAGUGAGCUUCUUUUGAAACUAAUGAUUCACAGGAUGUUUUGUAUUUCCAGCUGAAAAAAAUCUUUCAAACACAGCUGACUCAGUGGUCAGACCCUGAUUUCAGAGAGCUGCACAUCGCUCUGAUGUUGUUGUAAAAAGGGGAAGCAUCAGGAUACAUUCGCUGCUUACCAAGAUUUGCGGUUAAAAUGAAAAACACGUUUCAGUGAAAAAGUGGGUCUGAGGGACUGGUUGGUGUUUUAAUGAUCUUUCCAUUGGUUCUGAGCUGUAAGUCAUUAGUCAGUGCUGGAAAUGAUGCAUCACAUCGGUGGUUUCACAAUAUUUUUUCAAGGUUUUUUUUAUUAAUCUAUAAAAACAAGAUUGCAGCCAUCUGUAACAAUGCAUAAAUUGUGUUUCCUUUUAUUUUCACUCUGCCUUCUGUUCAUAGAUGAUCAUGAUACUGUCGGAUAUGAUCUUAAAUUGGUGUGUAAUUUUCAGUUUUAAUAACUACAGACAAUGAAAAUAAUUUAACUAUCUUGUUUGAUCAUGUAUCUUGAUUCAGAACUUAUGUAAUCUUUAAUGCUGACAGUGUAUGAUCUUACAAUGGUGUCAUUUUUUAUUCUGGUGAGAUGAGUUGGUAUUCAUCUGAAAUGAGAAAAGCAUCUCGUUCUGGAAAGGUAUCUUGCAUUUGCCUGUCUUACAAAUCUGUGCAUACAUGAGCAUAGGAACUUGCCAAAAAUACAAAAAGUAAUGUCGGUAAUGUCAUCAAUUUCUGUGCAAAUACAAUAUGUCAUCAUUUUUUAUGUAGGAGCCAAAAUGUAUUUGUUUAAGUUUUAUUUCUAUAGGUAUGUCACUUCUGGGAUCGUCACUGAGGGGUGUGGUUUUUGGAUGUUUGGCGGGUAAUUUAAGUCUCACAGGUGUAGUCAGAUAAUGGGUUUGGUAAGCUCUGAUAAUUUUCUGUUGACUGUUUCUCAUCGUUUUUCAUCGUUUUUCAUUCAUUCUGUUUUAACCUCAUUUCAUCAUAUCACCUUUUCAGUUGAAGGCAGAAGUGUUGGACCCCGAUCAGCGUGUUUUCUUUCCUCUUUUUAACAAUAGCUCUUUUUUUUUAAAACUCUCAAACCGGGCUGAUCUUUCAAGGGAGUCUCAGAUGCAAGCGAACCUCAACCCCAGCGGCCUUUUUGUUGAAGGAAAGCAGUCGCUACAUUUUAAUUUUGAUCAUUUUCUUCUUAUAAAGUUCACAAUUACAACUCCAAAAGUAUCUUGUUUUUGCUAGAUACUUUGGUUUAGUGCACACAGACACAGGAACUAUUCUAACAUGAACACAAAAAGUAAUACUGUUCAUAACAACUGCUACAGUGUGUAGUGAAAGUUUUGAUGUAACAAGUCAGAUAAUCAGUCUAUUAAGGAAAGUAUCCUGUUCUGGCUAGGAAUCUUGCAUUUACAAAGUGAUAAUAAAAAUGUUUUCCCAAUAUAGAAAUAUGUCAUUUAGCUAAGGAUAACAAGCAUUUAAAUAUUUUUGUCAGAUGAGGAGCUUUUCUUGUUUAUGUAAAAUAAAAAAUCAGAAUAUCUUGUUUUGGCAACAUACUUUAAUUUCACAGACGAAAUUACAGGAAAUAGAAACGUAAUGCUGUUUAUGUCAACUGAAUUAAUUACGUAAUUAUAGCAUGUUUUUGUGGUUUGGUGAGAUAAGUUGGUAUGUUACUACACUAAGAUAAGUAUCUUGAUCUUGCGCUUUUCCUCUUCUGAAGAAUUUCUGAAUUAAGAAUUUUCAACAUUGACUUGGAUACCUAACACUGUAUUUGAUUUUUUGGUUAACACAUCACCACUAAACAUCUAAGUGCUGUUUUCAUGUUUUCAUGAUCUUGUUGUCAGUAUCUUGCUGUACAUUAGAUUAUCUCUAAAUUUCACCUUACUUAGCCAUCUUCCUUUUUCUUAAAGCUUUGUUUCUUCUCACUUUCCCCUUUCUUCCACCCCCUCUCUAAAAUGUCUCUGAAACAAAGUUGUGGACUUAAACUUUGACUUUAAAGUGCUGCGGUAAAAAAAAAAAAAAAAAGUAUCUUCCAAAACGAGAAAAUAAACAAACAAACAAAAGCUUUUAACACACACUUACACACACACAGAAAACACACUCCUGAAAUUCACAUGGGACCAAUUAUCACAUUUGCCUUGCUCUGUUUGCCAACCCCCGAUCUCUAUACUGACAGAGAGAGAGAGAGGGAGAGAGAGAGAGACUGUAAAUGCUCGGACAGUCAUCAGCUCAUUAGCCUUGGACGACACAAUGCUUCUUUGUGUAUGAGAGGGGAUAACAAUGGAAUUCACGAAUCAUGCGUCCAUUGACUUUCCUUUUACACAGUUAAAUCUACUUAAAUUAGCCUUUUUAAACCUUUAAAUUCUUACAUGUAAGGCUUAUUCUUUAAAUAUCACGCCUUUAUCACAUUAAUCCUAGAUGGUAGAGAAAGAAAAGCAUCUUGAUCUCAGUCUCUCUGUGUAUUCAAGCUCUUCUGAUGUGGUUUACUUUGCCUGUGCUGGCUACAAAUAGCUCCAGCUGACUUAUUUUAAAGUUGCUGUGAGUAACUUCUGGUUUGGUUUUGACUUUAGCGCCCCCUGUGGUUAAAGAAAGACUUGUUAUUUCUCGCUCUGAACAUGUGAAACAUCCUUUUUCCUCUCUAAACAGAGAAACAUUUCCCCUCCAGUGAGUCAUUUUUAAAGCAGCUGUUUCUCUGGCUUGCUGUCAAGCAUCUGGUCCGAAGCCUACCCCCUCGCAGCAGUUUCAGGCAUCAAAUAUUGUAACAGGGAAAUUACUGCCAUGUUGCUGACAGUCUUGUUUGCUUCUGAAGGCCAAAGAGGGAAAGUAGUGUAAGUUUCUUAACCAGUUAAAAACUCCCUAUCGUGUCUUCAAUCACAGCUUUAUCCCCUACCGAGCUGUGUCAGAGGGCUUGCAGAGUUAGCGCCUCAAGCCUUUAUAUGUUUUUGCUGGUUACACAUCGAACUUACACAAAAAUACACACUUCUUCUGACCCUCUUUGUGUGUGUGAACGUGCAGCUGCCAGCGUCUGCGCAGCCAACAGACCGAGCACAAACAACAGACACAACACAUGUCUGAGGAAUGACAGCACCAGGUGUGUGUUUGUGUAUGUGUGUGUGAUGUAAUAUCUCCUGACUUCUUAGUCCUCUACUUGUGUGUUUGUGAGUAAAGAGAAGGAGUGUGUGAUCAUGUGCGUGCGUGAGUGUGUGUGUGUGUGUGUGUGUGUGUUAGGAGGAGGUGUUUUACUGGAAGAAUCCCCCUCCUGCUGCUGAGUCAUUAAAAUGGAGGCGAUGGAAUCUCCUUCACAUCUCACUGUGAGACACACACACAUUUUCACACCGGCGCUCCAUCUGUCUGCUGCUCCUCUGAUGAGACAUCUCCAUAUUUCUGCUUUUUUAAUCCCUGUAUCGGCCCCCGAUGGCCUUCUUUGUCCGUCACACACACAUGCAUUCACCUCCACAGCCCCAGCAGGGGAACAAAGGGGGUCUUAUGGUCGCUGAAGGGUAGUUUUGUUCAGACGAUGCAUCAUCAUAGACAUCUGUUACACACACACACACACACACACACACACACACACUGACUGGGUUUUAAUUCCUCUGCUCCACUAAGCUCUGAUGAUGUCAUGCCUGAUCAUUUAGCGCGCGCGCGUGUGUGUGUGUGUGUGUGUGUGUGUGUGUGUGUGUGUGUGUGUGUGUGUGUGUGUGUGUCUGUAAAUGAUCUGACCCCCUGUGCCGUUACAGACAGAUCUGUUUAGCCCCACUUAACACGUUUAGACACACACACACUCCUAAACACAACAGUUUGGACUCCAACGCGCCGCAAGAGAGAGUGAGGAGAAAGGAGACGGAGUUAAAAGAUAAAGUUUUUGCACAUAACUGAGGAGGAUUAAAUGAGGAUUUGGGAACACUAGUGUUUAUGUAAAGUGACUGCAACUGCUGAAGACACUCGAACUGGGAAGUUAUUUGCAAGUGAAAAUACACUGAAUAGCCCUUUAGCUGGAAAAGGACCAAAAUUUAGCUAAUUUAUUAUUUCACAUCAACUUCCUGUUAUGUCUUUUUGCGUCUGGCACUCAAAAGAUUCAAAAUGGAAGCAGCAGAAGCAUAAAUCUAUAAUUCCUGAUCCGCUAAAAGGACCACAGCGUAGACUCAGGUCCUCAGAUUUCAGCAUCUGUGCUUGUUUACAUCUGGGUCGUACAUCAUUACAGGAGGAGCUUUUAACCGGAGCUACAGCCUUAGUAAGCGGUGGGUUUCUGCACUACAUUAAAGGGAUAUUCCGGCGUAAAAUUAAGUAAGGGUCAAACACAGUAAAACAGAGUUAGACACCCCCUCAAGAGAUGAAUGUUGCCGACCGCUUGCUUCUCUGGUUAUACCAACUUUAGUAACGACUUCAUGAUAGCAAUACAGACUUCAGGCGAGUCCAUCGACUGCAGCGGGGUGACGCAGCUCAAGGAAGAACAUUUAUGAUCAUUUGUUCAUGGAAAUGCAAUCAGGACGAGAUGCUAAGGCAGAAGGACUACCAUGUCUUCUUCCUUGAGCUGCGUCACCCCACAGCAGUCCAAAAUGGACUGGCCCGAGGUCUCCGUACAAACAAGCAGCUGCUGGAAGAGAGUAGGUGAGUUAUGUUUAGUCUCUUUGCUAAAGAAAUCAGGCAAAGCUAAAAAGAUGUUUGGUGUCUAGUGCUGUGGCUAGGACCCUUUAUGUACUGUUGAUGAAGUUAGGUGCUGUUCUGAGCAUUAUCUGUGGCUAUAGAGUGGUGUUUUGGUUGAGCGCGUGGCUCUGUGUAUUGCUAUCGUGCGGUCGUUACAAAAGUUGGUAUAACUAGAGAAGCGAACGGUCGCAACAUUCAUCUCUCGAGGGGGUGUCUAACUCGGUGUUACGGUGUGUUUGACCCUAAAUUAAUUUUACGCAGGAAUAUCCCUUUAACACUACUGCUGCCUAUAAUAACAAUAUAUAGUAUUUUUAUAAGACACACAUAAUAAAUGAUGCUGUGACACUAGCUCAGCGUUAUUUCUCACAGUAAUAAAACAUAAAAACCACAGUGUAGUGUAGUGUUUAGAGUACAAAGCUGACAGAGUUCAAACUGUCAAAGUUCACCUCAGUAUACGAGGGUGUCAGAGGACAGCUGCUGUGUUGUGUGCAUGUGCUGUGUGUGUGUGUGUGUGUGUGUGUGUGUGUGUGUGUGUGUGUGUGUGUGUGUGUGUGUGUGCAUGUGGGAAGAAGAUGACUAACUGAGCUUCCAGUAGUUUCUCACACUGAGCAGACAGCCGGAGAAGUUUGCCCUCCUCCACCUUCACUGUCCUCCUUCAUUUUAAACUUUUCCCAUCACCUCUCCUCACCUCCCCUAGCUCUUACUUCAUCCUUUCUGGUGUCAUCGGCAUUCAUCACAGCAUCUCCAUGGUGACAUAUGAUAACAUUUGAUUCAGUAUGAAUCUACUUAAAAUAUGGAAAUGUGUUGAUAUACAUGGUAUGUCUAAUCCUUUACUGUUGGGGUUAAAGCCUUCAGGCCAGCAGCAGCAGGUCCAGUAGGCGGAGCUAACUCUGGGGAGACUUUCAGGAAUCCCCCUGUUUUUCCAUCUGGCUGCAGUUGAUGCAAAACUUCAUCCAUAAAUGAUUUAAAGCUUUGUUUUUACUCCAGAGUGAAACACGAGCCUAGCAACAGCAACAAUUUCAAUGUCCACUAAUAAAGUCAAAGCACAUGCAAAACCAUCCGAGCAAACGAUCUCUUUAUUUGGUUAUUAUCAGGAUGAAAUCCUCUGUGUGCACUCCAAGCCUAAAAUAUCCAAUACUGGACCACAUCCAGACUGAAGCUCUGCAUUCGCAGUUUAUUUAUUCCUCUUUGUUUGUUGAUUGUUCAAAAGCAACUUCAACUGUUGUAUUUUAGCAGCUGGUUAGAACACACACAUUGACGUGCCCACACACACAUGUGAGCGGGGUCCAGACAUGAUGGGGUUUGAUGUCGUGGGAGCUCGGUUGGGGGUGUGGAGGGGGAAGAAGAGAGGACUUGGGAUGAAAGGAAAGAAGAAGGAAAACUGGGAUUGGAGGGACUUUUGGAUAAAAGGAGGAUGGAUGGAGGGAGGACAGAUGUUUGUGAGAGCAGGAGAUAAAUGCAAGAUACGCUGUAAACAGAUAGCAGCGUCCACUUAGCACAAGCACCUGUCACUCAAAGGGGUCCAGACCUUUACUCUGUGGACAAACUUUUGACCUAAAUGUAACUUCAAAGGCUUAACUUAAGUCACCGCUUCCCCAAAACACACACGCAUGUUCAAAAAAUCGUCCACCAGUCCAGACUGUAAAUGUUUUUUGAAUGAACCAAGAGAGUUUGACUAACUACUAAAAUCAGCCUCUAGUCGCCAUUUCAGGGAGUGCAGGCUUGUCUACUUAAGGCACUGGCAGCAUUUCACAACCCUCGAAGUUUUUAAGCAGUUCGAAUAAAACAACAAGGCUGAAGGUCUUUACACACCGGGGCCGACGCUAAUAUUUAGAACGUGAAAUUACAUAAUAUUCAGAGGCGAAUUUUGACGCGCCUGACGAUACACAUCAAGCACAAUGCGAUUAUGGAAGACCCAUCCCAGGUGGAAGUGAGAAGACUGAUACAACAGCAGACUAACAGUUUUUCAGUUCUGAUUAGACUCUAGUGUUGAGAUGACUGUCUGUCAUGAUAGCAUGUACUGAGUCGGGGCCAGUACCAGAUAAGCACAUUAAACUAUAAUCCAUAAAUGUAAGGUAACAACCGAGACCUAAUGGUGCUGUGACAGAAAAUACAUAUGGUAUGUUGUAUCUGAACAGGUUAGCUUACAAGCUAAAGUUACUUAGCACAGAUGAAAGUUCAAACAAAGACGUAUAGCAAACUGUUAAAGCACACAAACCAUCAUCAUAUGAGAAAUCCGACACUAUAACUCUUUACAAGUUGUCCUUCAGGUCGUUAUCUUUGUAAUGUUUGUGUUUUUUAUCAUAAAGCACUCUGUUCUCCAACACAUAAAUGAUUAGCCAGUCGGCCACGUUGGAUAUACUGGUGAAACUGACGUCGCAACAACACGAAAUCUGAUUGGUCAGAAGUGGACACACAGUAUGCAAAACUUUAGAAAAAUCGACCGUGAUCUGAAAAAAUAAAUGCCGCAAUAUCGCAGGAUGGGAAAACGUCGCUGAUGUGAACGCUUGUAUUGACAGGAUACGGGUUCGAAAAAAAAAUAUUGACGUCCAAAAUAAUCGCACGAAAAAAACGCUCUGAGUGUGAAAGGACCUUUAGGCUAGAAUAGAACUGAAUAGAGCAGAACAGAAUACAAUAAAACAGAAUAGAACAGAAAGGAAUGUAGUAGAAAAAAGUAAAAUAGAGUAGAAUAGAAAAGGAUAGAGUAGAACAGGAUCGAAUAGAAUAGAAUAAAAUAGAACAGAACAGAACAAAGCAGAAUGAAGUAGAAUAGGACAGAAUUGAAUAGAAUUGAACAGAACAGAAUAGAUUAGGACAGAAUAGAUUGGAAUAGAAUAGGACACAAUAGAAUAGAUUAGAUUAGAACAGAAUAGAGUUGGAUUCUUGUUCUUCCUCUCUUCCGCUCUAGCCAAUGGUUUUUUUCUUCCUCAUAGCUGCCGGUUUAUUCAGCCCCCUGCGUCGGUGUCUGACCCCGGUGUGUGACCCAGGAAGCUGCAGCUGGAGGUCAUGUUAUGUCUGAGAGCUGGGUCAGAGGUCGGCGGCUGAACACCCUCCCACUGAGCUCUCCCAGGACAUACAGUACGACAUCAAGUGGCCUGAUUCCCAAACCAGUCCUCCUCUAGCCUCUGUCCUGAAAGAUCUCGGUCAGAAUUUACUUCAGGACACCUGAUCCAGCAGAAAAACUUCAAAGGGUACCUGGAAAGGGUUUUGAUUUUAUUUCUUAUUGUAUUAACCUGAGUAAUCAUUAUGUAAGCUGUCUGUAAUUUGAUCAUAUUUAGCUUUUUAGAGGUGGCAGCUGUCCUGGCAUUGAAUGUGUUUUGUGGUUGCAGAGGUGGAGUUGAGGAGGGGCAGAAGUGUGUCAGUGCAGGUGUCGGGGUGUGGAGAGGUGUGGAUUUGAGGGGUCGAGGCCGGUGGGCCUGUGUGUGUUUGCACUCCAUCAACCCCACACCCCAAAAGGCUAAUUACACACACUUAAGCAGCAGGUGUCUGAUAUUAGAUUGCACACACACACACACUUGUGUCAACCGUGGAGAAUACUUACCCAAGAUGUACCAGAAAUAUGCACCUCGUCAACGUUAAAGCAAGUUGAACCCACACUAAAGAGGUCAUAAACCAAAACGCAGUACCUUUGACUCUCUCCAGGUUGAACUCCCGCUGUUCUUGCUGCUGCUGCUGCUGCUGCUGCUGGACGGUCGUCCUUCUCAUCCGCUGGUCGCCCAAACUUUCGAUCAAAUCCUGUUAAUGAAAAAAAGUUAUCCAGUGUUUAACAGCAUGCUGAAAUCUUCAUGUUCAGAGCUAGUUAGUAACCUAAUGAAAAGAGACAUAAAGUCACAUUAUUAUGAUGAGUUCAAACUAUUAAAUAACUAUUGCAAAAUGAAAACAGUUUAACUUUAAAAACGCAAGUUAACAACGAAAAUUAUGCAAGUAACCUUUUUUCAGGCUAAUACUCUGCCUUUAUGAUGAGUGUUCAGAUACAGAUGACCCUUGAUGGCUUUAUUGGCUUCACCCUGGACUUUUACUCAAGUACAGUAAAUUCAACUCUUAAAUUAUGUUAAAAGAGGAGCUAAUAAUCAACUCUACGUCUGAAAUGUCACCCAGACAAAGAGAAUUCUCCUUAACCAACCUUAUCCUCCCAUUCAUAAACACACACACGCACACACUGGUGGUCACACAGUGGUCUAACGGUCUGACCUGCAGUGAAAGAGAGGUGACUCACUCACCCUCUCAAAACCCUAAAACAAACACACACAACCAAACCACAAACGC
rnacentral:lncRNA from 1 species